UGCAGUCGAGCGGAGAGAGGUAGCUUGCUACUGAUCUUAGCGGCGGACGGGUGAGUAAUGCUUAGGAAUCUGCCUAUUAGUGGGGGACAACAUUUCGAAAGGAAUGCUAAUACCGCAUACGUCCUACGGGAGAAAGCAGGGGAUCUUCGGACCUUGCGCUAAUAGAUGAGCCUAAGUCGGAUUAGCUAGUUGGUGGGGUAAAGGCCUACCAAGGCGACGAUCUGUAGCGGGUCUGAGAGGAUGAUCCGCCACACUGGGACUGAGACACGGCCCAGACUCCUACGGGAGGCAGCAGUGGGGAAUAUUGGACAAUGGGCGGAAGCCUGAUCCAGCCAUGCCGCGUGUGUGAAGAAGGCCUUAUGGUUGUAAAGCACUUUAAGCGAGGAGGAGGCUACUUUAGUUAAUACCUAGAGAUAGUGGACGUUACUCGCAGAAUAAGCACCGGCUAACUCUGUGCCAGCAGCCGCGGUAAUACAGAGGGUGCAAGCGUUAAUCGGAUUUACUGGGCGUAAAGCGCGCGUAGGCGGCUAAUUAAGUCAAAUGUGAAAUCCCCGAGCUUAAACUUGGGAAUUGCAUUCGAUACUGGUUAGCUAGAGUGUGGGAGAGGAUGGUAGAAUUCCAGGUGUAGCGGUGAAAUGCGUAGAGAUCUGGAGGAAUACCGAUGGCGAAGGCAGCCAUCUGGCCUAACACUGACGCUGAGGUGCGAAAGCAUGGGGAGCAAACAGGAUUAGAUACCCUGGUAGUCCAUGCCGUAAACGAUGUCUACUAGCCGUUGGGGCCUUUGAGGCUUUAGUGGCGCAGCUAACGCGAUAAGUAGACCGCCUGGGGAGUACGGUCGCAAGACUAAAACUCAAAUGAAUUGACGGGGGCCCGCACAAGCGGUGGAGCAUGUGGUUUAAUUCGAUGCAACGCGAAGAACCUUACCUGGCCUUGACAUAGU
rnacentral:rRNA from 1 species